GUCUCUUCGGAGAUAUUCGAUAAAAUUGAAACGAUACAUAAGAGAUUAGUGUGACCUUAUACAAGGACGACAUGCACAAAUCAAGAAAUGGUCCAAAUUUUU